rnacentral:rRNA from 1 species
GACGAACGCUGGCGGCGUGCCUAAUACAUGCAAGUCGAGCGAAGUUUUUCUGGUGCUUGCACUAGAAAAACUUAGCGGCGAACGGGUGAGUAACACGUAAAGAACCUGCCUCAUAGACUGGGACAACUAUUGGAAACGAUAGCUAAUACCGGAUAACAGUAUUUCUCGCAUGAGAGAUAUUUAAAAGUUGGUUAUGCUAACACUAUGAGAUGGCUUUGCGGUGCAUUAGCUAGUUGGUGGGGUAAAGGCCUACCAAGGCGACGAUGCAUAGCCGACCUGAGAGGGUGAUCGGCCACACUGGGACUGAGACACGGCCCAGACUCCUACGGGAGGCAGCAGUAGGGAAUCUUCCGCAAUGGGCGAAAGCCUGACGGAGCAACGCCGCGUGAGUGAAGAAGGAUUUCGGUUCGUAAAGCUCUGUUGUUAGGGAAGAAUGGAUAUGUAGUAACUAUACAUGUAAGAGACGGUACCUAACCAGAAAGCCACGGCUAACUACGUGCCAGCAGCCGCGGUAAUACGUAGGUGGCAAGCGUUGUCCGGAAUUAUUGGGCGUAAAGCGCGCGCAGGUGGUUUAAUAAGUCUGAUGUGAAAGCCCACGGCCCAACCGUGGAGGGUCAUUGGAAACUGUUAAACUUGAGUGCAGGAGAGAAAAGUGGAAUUCCUAGUGUAGCGGUGAAAUGCGUAGAGAUUAGGAGGAACACCAGUGGCGAGGCGGCUUUUUGGCCUGUAACUGACACUGAGGCGCGAAAGCGUGGGGAGCAAACAGG